GGGCUCAUAGUACAAUGGAUAGUAUGAUGGCCUCCGAAGCCAUAGAUCCAGGUUCGACUCCUGGUGAGCCUACCA
rnacentral:tRNA from 1 species